GGCUAAGAAAAGGGAGGUCUUGUCGCGUGCUUGUUCUUUUUUGGCAUCCCGCGCGCUCUCUCGCCAUCUCUCGAAAUCGCCAAGCAUCCUGAAACUUCCCCAGCUAUCUGCCCUGUCUCCGCCGCUUCCCGGCGCCAGGGCGUCGGGGCCUCGCUGUUGAACGCCUCUCCUGCAGACAUGAAAGCUCUCUCCUGGAUGUUUCUUGCUGGUUCUGCAGCAGCCAGCGCCCUCUUCUCUCUGGAUUCCCUCCGGGGCAUUCAGUGUCCAGGGGGAGGAUGUCCCCGGGUUGCCCAGAUGCUGCUAGAGAAACACAGCGCACUCAACACCCUUUUGAACAGAGCCCUUAGUAACAGUUGGCACAAGAGAUAACACUGGUUUAGACUAAGAUCUCCUGCCCCUUUCCUAGAGAUGGGGCCUUGACAGAUUGCCCAGAUUGGCCUCAGAACUUUGAGUCCUCCUGCCAGCAUCUCCAAAGUCACUGGGAUUACAGGGAACCCAUUCUUCCCCAGCAGUGGGUAGGCCUCCCCAUGUGUGCCGUGUUUCUGCUCAGAGAAGCCCAAUAGAGACUUGAGCCCAGGGCUUGUACUGAGGUCUGGUCAUGUGAACACCGUCUGCCUGGCAUGCAGUAAAAGUCCAGGCUCCCAGGAGGAAAGAUUGUCAGCUGUCCUCUGUGCCUAGCAGCCCCCUGUCAUUAAGAGGAGGCUGAAAAAGAAAAAAAGGGAGGCUGGGCUAUGAUGCUCCUGAGGUAUGGAUCCUGGAUGCUUCUCCAGAGAGAACAGUGAUGUUCAGCUUCAAGACCAAGGCAAAGGCUGCUUCCUUUUGUUUGCUCCCUCACUGUGGCCUGCAGGGACAUGCUCCCCAAACUCUCCUCUCCCAUUCUGAGAAGCAGAAGAAGCUUUUGUUAAACACAAUCUUGGUGGGUGCUGUUCAUGGACACCAGAGGGGCAGAGAAUUGAGAGUGAUGUCAUCCCAUGAAGCUUCACUGCCAGCUGCUCCCUACUGUAUGCUGAGAUCAUUCAGAAACCAGGGCCAUGGACAGGAAAGCCCAGCUCCAUCUGUCUGCCUGUACCUGCAGUCAUGGUCUCUUAAGUUGAACAGGCUGGCCUUGAGUUUGCCAUCCUCUUGCCUCAGCCUCCUGAGUCACUGGGGAUUACAGGCAUGUGCUGUGUUUCUUCCUGUCCCCCC